GCGACCAUAGUAUAACGGCUAUUACGAGGCCUUGCCAAGGCUUAGAUUCGAGUUCGAUUCUCGAUGGUCGCUCCA
rnacentral:tRNA from 4 species